rnacentral:rRNA from 1 species
UACGUAGGGUGCAAGCGUUGUCCGGAAUUAUUGGGCGUAAAGAGCUCGUAGGCGGUCUGUCGCGUCGGCUGUGAAAACUCGGGGCUCAACCCCGAGCCUGCAGUCGAUACGGGCAGACUAGAGUGCUGUAGGGGAGACUGGAAUCCUGGUGUAGCGGUGGAAUGCGCAGAUAUCAGGAGGAACACCGAUGGCGAAGGCAGUUCUCUGGGCCGUAACUGACGCUGAGGAGCGAAAGCGUGGGGAGCGAACAGG